rnacentral:lncRNA from 10 species
UAAUUACUGGAGAGGCUGGACUCUGGCUCUGUUUUCAAGAUAUGGAUAUGCUGAUAGAUUGGUUAGAGUCUUGAGCAAAAGAGAAGUUUCGGGUUCCAUUCGCUGAGAUGGCAAGGACUAAGUUCAGAGACUGGAGAUGGGCAGUGUCACCCAUAUCAGGGAACAGGAGGCCUGACGUCAAAAGCUCCCCCUCGUGACCAAAUCGACUGGGACUUGUUGGAUCCAAGAUGGCAGCUCACUUGACUUCUGAAGAACCUGGAACUUCAUUAUAAUCAAAUUUCCGUGCUAAAUGACAUUCCCGCGAGCACCAUGACAGUUGACAAUCACCAUGACAAUGACAGAAGAAACCAUAAAAUGACAAAAAGGAAGGCGGCAACUCUGGUUCUGAGUUUUCUGCCCAUUUCCAGAAAAGAUGUGAAUAUUCUUCUCUUUGCUUUUAAUGCCUGACCCUGUCAUUAGAGAUAUUCUGUAUCUGUGACUUCCUGGUUUUCAUAAGCUGAGAAGGUGAUUUGUGAGCCAAUCUCCUGGUUCUCAAUUUCAUGGCCAUUGAAUGAAGCUGGUACUGCUUGAUGCUCACUUUCUGUUCUGUGUAUUGGCUUCCUGGCACUGAAGAGGGAAAGACCUAUUUUUGGGGUGGGGGCGGGGGGGACCAGCUUUAUCAGUAACAGAAAGUUAGGACAGUCAUUCCUUUUCAAGACACCUCUUCAUCCUCAAAGAUUAACAGCUCUUUCUUAAUGUCAUAACAAUCAAAAUUUGGAAUUAAGCUCCUUAUGGAUCACGGGUGAGAGUGAAUUUGCUCUUUGAAAGAACAGAUGUCACAAUAUAUGAACAUAUUUUCAUUUUAUUAAACAUGCUAGUACAGUACAGUGGUUAAGACCUCAGAGGCUGGAGCUAGGGGCCCUGGGCUGGAAUUCUGACUCUGUCACUUACAUGUGAGACAGUAGGCAUGUUAUCAACUCAACAUGUCUCAGUUUCCUUGUCUAUAAAAUGGGGAUAAUAAUAGAACCUAACUUAUAAGGGUGGUUGUGAGAAUUAAAUGUGUUAAUAUAUGUAAAGUUUCUGAAAUGGUGCCUAACAAAAAGUAAUCAUUAUAUAAAUAUUAACUACUCAUCUUUCUAAUGUGUUACUAUUUUAUGGUAUUCUGUUUUCCUACUAUUUUUAUUUAGCUUGUUUAUCAUCAUUGAACAUUAUUUUUACUAUUUAAUAUUUUCUUUAUUUAGAAGAAUUUAUUUUUCUAGGGCAGUUUUAGGUUCAUAGCAAAAUUGAGAGGAAGGUACAGGUAUAUUUCCCAUAUACCAUUGGGUCCCAUACAUGCAUGGCCUCCUCCAUUAUCAACACCCCCCACCAAAGUGGCACAUUAGUUACAACAGAUGAACCUGCAUUCACACAUCAUUAUCACCCAGAGUCCGUAGUUUACAUCAGAGUUCACUCUUGAUGUUGUUCAUUCUGUGGGUUUGGACAAAUGUAUAAAGGCAUGUGUGCACCAUUAUAGUUUCAUAUAGAGUAGUUUCAAUGCCCUAAAAAUCCUGUGUGUCCCUGAACACCUAAAGGAGGUCUGGAGUGGAGUGAGGCAAUCAAUUGGGGGGUGGGCUGAGGGAGCACAGCUGCAGAGACCGGCCUUGGAGGGCACCCUGAGGGUCCUGUGCUUCCAUGGUACAUGCAAAGCCAACCUCUCAAGGGCUACAAGCAGUGACAUUCCAUAAGCAGGUUUCCAUUUUGGAGAGAUCACCCUGUCCUCUUUGAGGGACGUGGGUUAGAAGAUCACCUGGGACUUUAGCAGCCUUGGGAAGGCCCUGAGCCAGCAACCGCUCAUACACUUAAUUGGAUCAAUGAAAAAGGUCCAAAUUCCUGUUGACGCUAACAUCUGAUCACCAUAGAGCCCUACGACAAUUUUAGAAUCGGCAGCCUAAUCCAGUGGUCUCCACUGUGGGGUGACACACCUCAGAAAGUGCACAAAACAAUUCGUUUCAGAGUGGAAGAGAAAUACUAGAACUUCUAUUUUUAAAAAUAAUAAAUACAACUAAAUAACAAAUUUCAUUAUUUCCAAAUUGAACAUUUCCUUUGUAUGUUUUAUAAUGUAUUAUAUAAUAUACAUUAUCUCAUUUAUAAACAAACAAAUAUGAGGUGGUGCUAAAGUGUUUUUACUGAUUGAGCGCCGUUUCCUUCCAUGCUGGAAGUCUCCUAUCUGUGUCAAAGGCUAUCCUGAUUCAACCCCUGAAAUUACUAUUCCAGGACUUUAUUGUCAUAUAUGACAGAGAUUUAGGGAAGACUUAGGCCAAAAUUUAUACCAAUAUAUUAAAACAAAUAAACAUAAUAAAGUAAUUUAAAAUUUAACAUGUGCUUGUCUCUCAUGCACAGCCAUUCAGUGCUUGGGACAGUGCCUGACAUACAGAACACGUUCAGUACAUAUUUGUUGAAUGAAUAAAUGGAUUAAGGA